AUGCCCAAAAGUAUUUGAUCUGGAUUACCAAAUCCAAAUCCCAGUUUUGUGGGAACAGUAUCACAUGGUUUUGAAAUACCCAACUCUGGUAUUUAAUCCUAGCCGGAUGAUUCUCAUGUACAUUAAAUGUUUGAAAUACUGGGCCAUGAUGAUCCAGUGAUGAGCUCACCUGAACUCAAUCACUGAAUUGCCUCCCACAUCCUAGUCCACCACAGUUGUCUGCCCCUUCUACUGGCAAGAUGAUGUAUACUCCCCACACUUAUGUGUAAUGUGUAAUAUGUAUUAUGUAUAAAUAUGUAUUUUCUCAGUCAGAUAGAAUUACCUCUGUGUCAUACUGUUAAGACUUUGCUUUGUAUCUUACUGUUCAAGUUGCCAGUUUUACAUAGUAGGUUACACUUUUCUUUUAUGCAGAAUCAGUGUGUGGAACUCUCAGAUGACAGCGAUUUUGAAAGCCCAGCUCCACAACAAAGGAGAGUGAGUCAGAGAGAUGUACUACCCAAAACCCAGGGGGAACAUUCUGAGAGGCGAGAGGGUGCUGAAGCCAGUUCGCUACAUGAUGAUGGGAUGGAAUUACAAGGACAGCAAAGGCCAAAUGGAGCUACUGUUCACUUUGCAGAUUUCAUGUAUAAAUAUAUUUAUUAGGGUUUUCACAUGUAACAUUUACAUUGCAUUUUAUGAUGUUAAGGAAUUUAGGAGGCCAUAAGAUGCAGUCUUUUAGAAGAGUCUGUGCAGUCCUUACAGGAUUCAAGGCUUCCAAAAACUUUAAGCAAAGAAGAAAUAACAGGAAUGGUAAAAGCACACAGUGAGAAGGUUGUCACAACAUCAUACAUCUGCAUCAGCCGAGGGAACGUGUGGACAACUGCCCUCUGACAUUUUAAUAGACGCAGAUUCGCUGAGAGUACCGAUGUGCUGUAUGUCACCUUUGCCAGUGAUGAAGACACCAAUGAAGAUGCAGAAGACCUGGGAGGGCCCAGACGAGAAUUCUUCCGACUACUCAUAAAAGCUAUCUUCAGAGAGAGUGGAGCUUUUGAAGGUUCUGCCACUCCUGAAAGAAAACCCUUGCUUUAGGGUCCUUCUUGAGAAGCCUGAAGAACACAGUGAUAUUACAGCAGCUGUUGUGGCGACCCUCCUGAAACCCCACUACUCUUUUCUGGGAAGCAACAGAAGACCAAGAGAGGAGUUAAUGGUGGUUAAGUUCAGAGAGUUUCUCCAUUGUGUACAAGAGAAAGAAGUUGGUGAACGUCUUCAUGCCAGGACCCUCACUGAGGAAGAGCAGGCAUUUAUCCUGACAUUGAGUCCUGGACACAUCCUAGCCUUUGCGACAGGAAGCAGCAGAAUUCCUGCGAUUGGAUUUCUUCCCAAUCCAAAGCUGACUUUUGUUCAUGAUGACACAAAACACAUUCCAGUUGCUCACACAUGCUCAAACGAGCUCCAGAUCUUUGUUAACGACCAUAUUCUGGUGGCUCUCAUGAAUGGUGCCAUUUUCAGUGUAGUGUAGCACCCCCCCACACACACAAAAAAAAAUUGCAUAGCUAGACAUGUUAAUACAUUUUAGGCUAAUGUUAAAACUGUUCAGCCUUCUACCAGUCUACUCUAAUAGUAUUUACAGUACAGCAUUGUUAAAUGUACACCACUACUGAUUGACAUGUUAAUGUGACAUUAUUUACUUCAGUACCUUCAUUAGUAUGGGCUCAAGAGUUAGACAUUUACCAUUUUGUGGUAUACAAAUUCCUUUACUCUGCGAUAUAAUGUUUUUCCCUUGUUACCAUCAUUUUCAAGAGGGUUUACUGCAACAAUCAAUUCUUGCAGCUCUUGCUGGUUAAGUGGGCAAAAUGCAUUAAGUGCAUGAGAUGUUGAGGCUGAGUCCACUGUUCUUGCCUCAGUUGCAGCUUCAGGAUAGUUCAGUAACAGAAGAUGUCUGUCGAGUGUGAAAAGCUGAAGUGGGGUUCUGUUUCCUUCAGAUGAGACUGAAUGAUUGUUAAAUGCAGCUUUAAACUCAUCUAAUGUGCGAUUGAUCCUGGGAAUGUACACAAAA